rnacentral:rRNA from 1 species
GACAGAGGGUGCAAACGUUGUUCGGAAUUACUGGGCGUAAAGCGCGUGUAGGCGGCCAUCUAAGUCGGGCGUGAAAUCCCUCGGCUUAACCGGGGAACUGCGUCUGAUACUGGAUGGCUAGAGUUUGGGAGAGGGAUGCGGAAUUCCAGGUGUAGCGGUGAAAUGCGUAGAUAUCUGGAGGAACACCGGUGGCGAAGGCGGCAUCCUGGACCAACACUGACGCUGAGGAGCGAAAGCCAGGGGAGCAAACGGG